CAGCCUUGGUUAUAAGCCUCUCAUAUUCAAGCGUUCUCAUCUCUUCUCUGUUCUCCUCUAGUCCCAUCUCUGUGUAUAGUGUCACUUCCCUCUCGCCGAUGCUGUCUCAUGCCUAGCCGCCUAACACUUGAUUUUUCUCCCCAUCUCAAGCUCAACUCGACAUUUUUACCCUCACCCAACACCAACUGCUGGUGCAUUUGCGUGCGCCUCCCAAUGUGCAUUUGCUGCUUGAAAUCAUUUGCCUCUUGCUGAUGUGCGUCUCCCUCCCCUACUUUACUCUGCUUGUCAGUUCAAGGGUCUCCAAGAUUCUAGCCGAGAAGAGUUCUUGUGGGAUAAGUUCUUAUUCUAGCACAUAUCAAGCUAUUUGAAUGCCGAAUCAUUGGUCGUCUGACCUGAGCUAUCUGAGUUAUCAUGUCUAAGCCCAGAGCUGGCAAGAAGAUCUACUUUGACCACCAGCGGGUGAGCUAGACUGAUCCAAGACUGCUUGAGAUGAGCCACGCUCAUGGGUCAUGGAAACUAAACUAGGCCAUCCAGCCCCUCGAUUGACAUGGUUCGGAUUUGAUUCAAAUAUUGGGUCAUUCUACAUUAAUACUUCGAUUCACUUUAGUUCUCAUAAUUUUAAAAUUCAAUUUUCCCGCUAAUUCGGAUUGAUUUUAUUCAAAACUGAACCGAUUGAUUACACAUGUGAAAAAUAAAUACGGCAUAAAAAGUUUUACUUAAUAAUUUAUUUAUUUAUUUUUGACUUUGGGGGAAAAUUUUUUUUUAACCCUUAGC
rnacentral:misc_RNA from 1 species